AUUGAACGCUGGCGGCAUGCUUUACACAUGCAAGUCGAACGGUAACAGGCCUUCGGGCGCUGACGAGUGGCGAACGGGUGAGUAAUGCAUCGGAACGUGCCCAGUCGUGGGGGAUAACGCAGCGAAAGCUGUGCUAAUACCGCAUACGAUCUGCGGAUGAAAGCGGGGGACCUUCGGGCCUCGCGCGAUUGGAGCGGCCGAUGUCAGAUUAGGUGGUUGGUGGGGUAAAGGCUCACCAAGCCAACGAUCUGUAGCUGGUCUGAGAGGACGACCAGCCAAACUGGGGCUGAGACACGGCCCAGACUCCUACGGGAGGCAGCAGUGGGGAAUUUUGGACAAUGGGCGCAAGCCUGAUCCAGCAAUGCCGCGUGCAGGAAGAAGGCCUUCGGGUUGUAAACUGCUUUUGUACGGAGCGAAAAGGCUCCCUCUAAUACAGGGGGCUCAUGACGGUACCGUAAGAAUAAGCACCGGCUAACUACGUGCCAGCCGCCGCGGUAAAAC
rnacentral:rRNA from 1 species